UAUACGCAGGUCAAAUUAAACAUUCAGGCACUUUUUUACCAUGGUUUUUUACCUUUUUACCAUUACUAUUUACCUUUUGUACUAUUCCUACCAAAUCCUAUAAAAUAUAAAACUCAACAUUCAAAGUGAAAAAUGUCAGAUAUUCAACAAUUUUUGCGAUGGAUCCAAACAACUUAGACCCGAAUGAAGUAUACAUAGAUGUGGAUGAAGAUAUUGAAACAUUCGAGCUACAUGAUUUCAGUGAAUUUUUCACAAUUUCGACUGCAUUUGAUAGUAAAGAUGCACUAGUCGAGUAGGCGAUGAAUAUGGCCAUCAGUCAUGGACAUGAGAUUAGGCGACAGUCUUACCACGAGGGCCGACAAUAUUUGACUUGCAAAAGAGCCUAUAAGAGUCGAGGAAAAAAUGCAGAGGUCAAAACAAGCCGGAAGUCCGGUUCAAUAAAGUGUAAAUGCCCUUUUGCGCUAUGGGGUAAAGAGGGUCGUGAUGGAUUAUGGCGCCUUACCAUAAAAAAUGGCAAGCACAAUCAUAAUCCUCAUAAAUAUCCACAAGGACUACGUUCGCUAAGUCGCCUGACUAAAGAGCAACGAGAAGUGACAAAGAUACUGAAAAAGAGCCAUGUGAAGCCGAAGGAAAUUUUGCAUCAUCUGAGGCAGAUGAAUCCGGAUACGGCUGCGUCCUUGAGAGAAGUG